AGAGUUUGAUUAUGGCUCAGGAUGAACGCUGGCGGCGUGCUUAACACAUGCAAGUCGAACGGAGAGCGUAUGACAGAGGAUUCGUCCAAUGGAUUACGUUUCUUAGUGGCGGACGGGUGAGUAACGCGUGAGGAACCUGCCUUGGAGUGGGGAAUAACAGUUGGAAACAGCUGCUAAUACCGCAUAAUGCAGUUGAGUCGCAUGACUCUGACUGCCAAAGAUUUAUCGCUCUGAGAUGGCCUCGCGUCUGAUUAGCUGGUUGGCGGGGUAACGGCCCACCAAGGCGACGAUCAGUAGCCGGACUGAGAGGUUGGCCGGCCACAUUGGGACUGAGACACGGCCCAG
rnacentral:rRNA from 1 species